UGUGUGGUCUGGUGUGACCACAUGUCAUCACACAGAAGGUCCCAGGUGUGUAAAGACGUGAGCAUCGUGGCAGCGUAUGCCAAUGGCAGUAAAGAUGGCACCUAUCUUUUACAGACCUUCAAGGGGCAGGCCAACCAGUCGUGUGAAAGGAUUUGAUUAGAAAGAUCGAUUUCUUCCCAGGCGUCGGUCGUGGGUGGUUAACUCUGGUCGGCACUCACCCUCCCCGUGUGACUCGUGCUCCCACCGCCUCUGCGGACCCCGCCUGCCAGCCGCGCACCCUAACGAGCUCUCUACCCGUUCCACGCACCCAGCUUUUCUGGAGUCCUCCUGUAAACGCGGUCUGGUGGUAUGUCCUCUGCUGUGUUGGCGUGUGCCCCUGGCCUGACAUCCGCUGGGUCCCUCCGUGUUACCGCGGCGGCCAGAUCUCCUUGAAGGCUGAAUACGACUUCGCUUCACCCACAGGUUGCAGUGUCACUGCCCCUUCACCUGCUGUUCCCGCAGCUGGGCUGUUGGGGGAAUGCCGCUGAGCAGCGGUGUGCAGGUAUCUUGUCAAGGGGCUGAUUUCACCGCCGUGUGUACCCGGAGGACAGCUUGCCGCUCCCAUCGAGUAUCUCGUCCUAGCUGAGGUGCCCCAGCCCGUCCUGGCAGAGAGGAUGCCGGUCCCGCAGACGCAAGGGGCCUCCGCCCGCGCCCUCAGGCCUCACCAGCGCCUGCUGCCGCUCACUCUCAUCUUUUCAAUGGGUGCUGACAGAAACUGCCUGAACCUAAGCUCCACAGACUGCAGAAGGGAACGCCCAGAACCAGCUGCAGCCAGGGCUUCCUCCUCCGCGGCCUCAUCCACACACUCCUCAGCCAGAGUUCACUGCAGACUCCCGCGUCCCUCUUGCUGCAGGACUAGCAGGUGUGGACGGCAAGGGCUCUGCUCUGUUCAGGGUGGCUCAGCUGGGGUGCCCUCGGAAGCCUCCAGACAGCAGUGCCCGCAGUCAGAUCUGCAUCUUUUGGAAAAAUGGUAGCACUGAAGGGAGGAGAUCUACUUAGAAAGAUGGGAUACAGUGUGUGAAAACAAAAUAAAGUAACAAACAAAAUAAAACAACCACUUUUAAUUGAAACAAAACAAAAAAAAUCAAAUACUGUAAUUGAAAAACUUCUGCACAAAAGAGAAAGUGAACCAUAACUGGAGAUGAAGAGUAGCAACAUCUUUGCGGUCAACUGAACAAAGUCUGGACAUCUGAAUCUAGUAAGGAAAGCAGAACCGGCGUGAAGAAGGGAGAGCAGACGCGAUCCCUGCAGUUCAGAUUACUGCCUGUGCUUUGGCUUGUAAAGGAAAUUGUACCUGAAUAUUUAGCUGUUCCACAUUUAUCUGUUUAAGUAUUUUUGGUUUUGUGUGGCUAUUUUAAUAACAAGGAAGAUGUAAAAAAUACAUUAAAUGUGAUUGUUUCUGAGAUGAGAAUAACUGGCUUCCUCUUGGUGAUGAUUUUGGCAGCAAGGGAAAUACAGGGAUGACGGCUAGACAACUGGGAGCGUACUUGAUCAGAAAGAGAUCGUGGUUGGACCUCUUACUUUCCCAUUGGUUACCAUUUUAUAAAAAUGAGAACAGUUAGAGAUUUUGCAAAAGCAUCACACAUCCCCCUCUGCCUUGGAGGUCAGACAGGAACGGCAGCUCUUACUCACCACAGAUAAUUUCUGAAGUGGGGAGGAGAGGACGAGGAAUCCGGGAACAAUCUUCACUUGAACAUAUCGAAAGACAGCAUAACUAUGCUGCUUUAAAAGCCGUGUGAAAAGCUUUUACAAGAAUUUUACAUUUUUUACAAGAAUUUUAAUUUUUGUUGAUUUCUGUAUUCUAAAUUUUCUAUAGCAUGACUAGAUUAUGAUAGGGACACAAAACAAUAAAAAGUAAAAUCAAUUUAAAAGAGAAAGGACGUAAAUUUGAUGGGGCAGGAAUACUAUCUGAAAGCAGGAAAAAUAAAAAUUAUCAGUAUUAUUUAUUUAUUGGCAUUAUUAUUGAAGUAUUAUCACUUGUUGAAGGUAUUAUUCCUCAUUAAAGACUUAAAGGAUAAUGGUUUUAUUCUUGUGGAACAAA
rnacentral:lncRNA from 1 species